rnacentral:lncRNA from 1 species
AAGGACCGGCCCCCGAUGCUGGCCUCUUCCUUGUUGCGAACCACCGAAUCUCGACGUCUGUCGGCCGCAUCCUUGGAGGUGUCCCUGCAAUACCGACAAAAAUGUUAAAGACCGGACCAAGAGCCGAAUGAAAAGAAAGACCGGGGGAUCGGACGAUACCUAUUCGGGGGACCAGAAUCAAGCCGGCAUCAUAGAGAGCUUGUUCGGUAACAAGCUUUCUCUGCUUCAGGACCGACAUGUCUUUCAGUCGGUGGAAGUCCUCCCGGUCGUCCGCCUCCACCCGACUGUUGUCGUUGGCUUCGGUUCGGGGCACACCCCAGCGGGAAGGGAAGCCCCAAGGAGAUGAGGAAGAAACAAAAAAGAAUUGGUUCUUCCACCCAUGAAUGGAUGAUGGAAGACCGAUGAUGAAGGCAAGACCCUUUCGGGGGUUGAAGAGCCACCACCCUCGGGCUUUAGGGUGGGGUCGGAGCACAAAGAAUGCCCGGAAGAGUGAAACGCGAGGGUUGGUCGGCAAGAGCUGACACAACAGCGCGAAGGAGAUGAUGAGACGGACGGAGUUCGGCGCCAGUUGCGCCGGACAGAGUCUGUAAUAAUCUAAUAAAUUCCGGACGAACUCCGG